GGCCCCGUAGUUUAAUGGAUAGAAUGUCAGAUUCCGGUUCUGUUGGUUGGGAGUUCGAGUCUCCCCGGGGUCA
rnacentral:tRNA from 1 species